AGGAAGAAAGCAAAGUAUUUUCCUGGACACGAAGUAUGCUGAGUUGGGACCCUAGCUGAGUUACGAAGUGAGAUGGACCCACGUGAUGCUCAUCCUUAAGUCCUGGUGAACUUCCUGCUAGUGACUGACGAUACCACCCACGACUCAUGGGUGACUCUCGCUUCUUUUACGCCCUCACUGUCCACUACCAAGCAGUAACCAUGGAGAGAGUCCGUUGAGUUUUUCAGUUCCUUAGUCUGAUGGAUGAAUGUCCACCCCAGAGAAGUGGAAAAUCAAGGCUCCAAGGCCACAAGGCAGCUUCAGUGCCCCCUGCAUCCUGAAGUCAUCUUGGGAGGUACAAGGCGGCCCUGGCUGUGAGU